rnacentral:rRNA from 1 species
GACGAACGCUGGCGGCGUGCUUAACACAUGCAAGUCGAACGGUGAAGGGACUGGUUUUGCUGGUCCUGGAUGAGUGGCGAACGGGUGAGUAACACGUGAGUAACCUGCCCCCUUCUUCUGGAUAACCGCAUGAAAGUGUGGCUAAUACGGGAUAUUCUGGGUCUGUCGCAUGGUGGGCCUGGGAAAGAUUGCGCCUUUUUUGGUGUUUUUGGUGGGGGAUGGGCUCGCGGCCUCUCAGCUUGUUGGUGGGGUGAGGGCGUUCCAAGGCGGUGACGGGUAGCGGACCUGAGAGGGUGGACAGUCACACGGAGACUGAAACACGGCGCAGACUCCUACGGGAGGCAGCAGUGGGGAAUAUUGCACUAUGGGCGCAAGCCUGAUGCAGCUACGCCGCGUGAGGGAUGGAGGCCGUCGGGUUGUGAACCUCUUUCGCCGGUGAAGCAGGCCUGCCUCUUUUUGUGGGUGGGUUGACGGUAGCUGGAGAAGAAGCGCCGGCUAACUACGUG